rnacentral:rRNA from 1 species
CUGUACCUACGGGGGGCAGCAGUGGGGGAUAUUGCACAAUGGGGGAAACCCUGAUGCAGCGACGCCGCGUGUGGGAAGACGGUCUUCUGGAUUGUAAACCACUGUCCCCAGGGACGAAAAUGACGGUACCUGGGGAGGAAGCUCCGGCUAACUACGUGCCAGCAGCCGCGGUAAUACGUAGGGAGCAAGCGUUGUCCGGAAUUACUGGGUGUAAAGGGAGCAUAGGCGGGGAUGCAAGUUGGGUGUCAAAACUACCGGCUCAACCGAUAGUCGCACUCAAAACUGCAGCACUUGAGGGGAGUAGA